GCCCUUGUAGCUCAGUGGACAGAGCGGCGAGCUUCUACCUCGCGGGCCGGGAGUUCGAAUCUCUCCAGGGGCACCA
rnacentral:tRNA from 111 species